rnacentral:rRNA from 1 species
UACAGAGGUCUCAAGCGUUGUUCGGAUUCAUUGGGCGUAAAGGGUGCGUAGGCGGCGCGGUAAGUCGGGUGUGAAUCUCGGAGCUUAACUCCGAAACUGCAUUCGAUACUGCCGUGCUUGAGGACUGGAGAGGAGACUGGAAUUUACGGUGUAGCGGUGAAAUGCGUAGAUAUCGUAAGGAAGACCAGUGGCGAAGGCGGGUCUCUGGACAGUUCCUGACGCUGAGGCACGAAGGUCAGGGAGCAACGGG